UGUUUGAGUGUUACCAUGAUGUAGGCAUUGACAGAGCUGUCUUCUGUUUAGUUUAGGGUCCAUGUUUCUCUUGGGACGAGGACACAAAGAAGGCCUUCUCUGCAUAGGAUCUAUGCAUCAAGUACAGGUGACCACCUCCCUGUUGUUCCCUUUGUACUGUGGAUGCUGUAGACAUUUGGGGAUGUUCACUGUCCGCAAUCUAGCUAUGUGACAGAGUUGUAUUCUGCUUUUUUAAGGUUCCAUCCUUCACUGAGAGGCCAAGACAAUCUCACGACGGUUCACGUCUUUUUGGUGGGGUUGGUGUCCAAGACAACGAGGCAAACUGGUGGUGAGAUACAUCACAGUCCACAACAAUAGGCCCAUUGCACCACAUGUGUCUUGCUCAUUUGCCCUUAGACUCUCCAGGGAUCACAGCUUCUCUGAGGUUUGCCCAGUCCCAUGCAGGUAAGGCCCACUGAGCUCAAUGGAUCUUACAGCAAGGUAAGUAUAUGUUGGGUUGCUGCCAGGACUCUGUUCUUGGUGGGAAUCCGAAUUCCAUUGGCCAAGAAGUCUUGUUCGGAGAAGCAGAAGUGCAGUGACUCGAUUGAAACCAGAACCAGCUGGUCAUGUAGAAGUGGAGGAAGGAGCAACACCCUUACACCUGGAUCAGUCAGUUCUACCUGUUGUGGCCUUCCUACUCAUACACACAACUGUUUCCUCUGUGAAGAGGACAUGGAGAAGACUCUGUCUGAAGAGGACCCAUGAGUCAAGAAAGCAAGAAUUUGGUGAGUGGCUGUCAAAUAGGGGUUGACCAUCUCUCCAUUGCUUGA
rnacentral:lncRNA from 1 species